GUGGAUUAUAAUAAAUUCCGAGGAAAAAUCGAUCACUACCCGAAUUUACAUCGAGCAGAAGAUACUCAGCUGUUUGAACUGAAGAGUUGUUAUCGAAAACAGACUUUGUUAAAACUUCACUACGAAAACCUUUUUUUAGAUAAACACAAAAACCCCCACCGUGUCGAAUUCGAUCGUUCCGAAUGUGAUUGUAGCCAUCAAUGCUAAUCAUCGAGUCAUUAAUCGAGUCGUCCAACCAAGUUUCUGACAAGCACACAAUAUCAGCUUUACUAUUGGAGAAAAUUGAUUUAAGUUCUUCAAAUUUAGCAAAUCUUCGCGCGCAAAGGCUUUGAAGAGGUAGUAUCAGGAAACUGAUUAUCCAUUGGAAAAGCAAAUGCAGUAAUCGAGCAAACGGAAACUUAACAUGGAACUGUGUGUACCUGCACUGAUUAUUAAAAUAAAGAAAAAUCUUGUGGUCAUCAAUGAACGGCUGGAUAUAUUAGGUUGGUCAAACAGUACCUUUCCUUGAUGUGUGAUCAGCAACAGCAUCGGCGAAUCCGGAGCGGCCAUAGACUUUUAGGAGGGAUCAAUCAUGGGACAAUGAGGAUAGAAAUCAUGGAACACAAUAGGCAGGAGAAAGGCAUGUUUAAGAAUAGGUGAGAUUAGCAACAUUGUCAAAUACUUUCAGGAGUGGAAGAAUACCAGGAAUCAAG